rnacentral:rRNA from 1 species
UACGUAGGGGGCAAGCGUUGUCCGGAAUCAUUGGGCGUAAAGCGCGUGUAGGCGUCUUGGUAAGUCCGCUCUGAAAGCCCGGGGCUCAACCCCGGGAGGCGGGUGGAUACUGUCAAGCUCGAGUCCGGAAGAGGCGAGUGGAAUUCCCGGUGUAGCGGUGAAAUGCGCAGAUAUCGGGAGGAACACCAAUGGCGAAGGCAGCUCGCUGGGACGGUAUUGACGCUGAGACGCGAAAGCGUGGGGAGCAAACAGG